rnacentral:lncRNA from 1 species
GCCAUGAACAGUAAGAAAAUAUGAAUAGCAACAACACUUAAGAAAUAUAUAUAUAUAUAUAUCUAAAAUGUAACCAACAUAAUCCCUAGUAAAAAUGGUGGAAUUUCACCAAAAUAGGGAGCAAAUAUUUAAUUUAUUUUUAUGCGUAUAUGUACAUUUUUUGUGUGUUUGAGAGAAAGAAAAAGGAGGUAAAAUUUGUGUGUAUUUGUUUAUUCUUGAGAGAGGAGAGAAAGAAGAACAUAAUGUGUGUGUGAUAAAAAAAUGUGCAUAUGCAUUUGUAUAUUUUUGGGAGAGAAAAUGAAAAAUGAGGAAAGAUUUUUUUCUUGUGUUUUUUGUGUAUGUAUUUGAGAGAGAAAAAAUAUGUGUGGGUAUGUGAAAAUGUGUGUAUAGAGAGAAAAGAU